rnacentral:lncRNA from 1 species
GAGAACUCAGCCUUGGGGGUGGUGACCUGGGAGUCCCUGGGUUGCUAGUUAGUGGUCAGAACUGGGCCUGAUGGACAAACUCAGGCAAGGUAGGGGUUAGGUGGGGACCAAAGCAGGCCAGGCUGAUGGUGGAGUGCGCAGGGCCAGGCACCCUCCCUGGAGGCAUCAGCCUGGGCUUGCUUUACUACUCUGGAAGGGAACCCAAGCCCCAGGACGCUAAAUCUUAUGCCAAUGUUCAAAUAUAACCAUUUCUUUCUUUUUUUUUUUUUUUUUUUUGAGACGGAGUCUCUCUUUGGAGUGCAGUGGCGCCAUCUUGGCCCCCUGAAACCUCCGACUCCCUGGUCCAAGCGAUUCUCCUGCUUCAGCCUCCCGCGUAGCUGGGAUUACAGGCAUGCGCCACCGUGGCCAGCUAAUUUUUGUAUUUUCACUAGAGACAGGGUUUCACCAUGUUGACCAGGAUGGUCUCGAUCUGCUGACCUUGUGAUCCGCCCGCCUCGGUCUCCCAAAGUGUUGUUGGGAUUACAGGCAUGAGCCACCACGCCGGACCAAAUAUAACCAUUUCUAAAAGCAUUCCUCAGCGCUUGGAACUUGCGAGCUGAUGGCUUUUGGUGGAGCCCAGGAGGGGCGCUGUGGGGCACAGACGUGUGCGGGGCCGGCAGCUGCGGAGAGAGCAGCGCACCCCAGCCUUCAAUUCCCCGCCGAAGAUGGGACUCUGCCCAGAGCCGAGGCCCCUGGCUGCUGCCCCGCUCCCUUGCGGCCGCAGUGACACUCAGAGCCAGAUUCCUCAGACAAUCUUCACUCCUCCGUGGUGGCUGCCUUGGGAGGCGUUGCGGGGUGAAGGAAGUCGCAGCUGGUCCCAAGCAGUGGGGAGGGCAGGACAGGGAGUAA